GCAAGUCGAGCGAUUUACUUCGGUAAAGAGCGGCGGACGGGUGAGUAACGUGUGGGUAACCUGCCCUAUACACACGGAUAACGUACCGAAAGGUACGCUAAUACGAGAUAACAUAUUUUUAUCGCAUGGUAAGAAUAUCAAAGCUCCGGCGGUAUAGGAUGGACCCGCGUCUGAUUAGCUAGUUGGUAAGGUAACGGCUUACCAAGGCGACGAUCAGUAGCCGACCUGAGAGGGUGAUCGGCCACAUUGGAACUGAGACACGGUCCAAACUCCUACGGGAGGCAGCAGUGGGGAAUAUUGCACAAUGGGCGAAAGCCUGAUGCAGCAACGCCGCGUGAGCGAUGAAGGCCUUCGGGUCGUAAAGCUCUGUCCUCAAGGAAGAUAAUGACGGUACUUGAGGAGGAAGCCCCGGCUAACUACGUGCCAGCAGCCGCGGUAAUACGUAGGGGGCUAGCGUUAUCCGGAAUUACUGGGCGUAAAGGGUGCGUAGGUGGUUUCUUAAGUCAGAGGUGAAAGGCUACGGCUCAACCGUAGUAAGCCUUUGAAACUGAGAAACUUGAGUGCAGGAGAGGAGAGUAGAAUUCCUAGUGUAGCGGUGAAAUGCGUAGAUAUUAGGAGGAAUACCAGUUGCGAAGGCGGCUCUCUGGACUGUAACUGACACUGAGGCACGAAAGCGUGGGGAGCAAACAGGAUUAGAUACCCUGGUAGUCCACGCC
rnacentral:rRNA from 1 species